rnacentral:rRNA from 1 species
CGCGUAGGCGGUCUGCUAAGCGUGUGGUGAAAGCUCGGGGCUCAACCCUGAGUCGGCCAUGCGAACUGGUGGACUUGAGCACUGUAGAGGCAGGUGGAAUUCCGGGUGUAGCGGUGGAAUGCGUAGAGAUCCGGAAGAACACCAGUGGCGAAGGCGGCCUGCUGGGCAGUUGCUGACGCUGAGGCGCGACAGCGUGGGGAGCAAACA